GACGAACGCUUGCGGCGUGCUUAACACAUGCAAGUCGAACGGAAAGGCCCUGCUUUUGUGGGGUGCUCGAGUGGCGAACGGGUGAGUAACACGUGAGUAACCUGCCCUUGACUUUGGGAUAACUUCAGGAAACUGGGGCUAAUACCGGAUAGGAGCUCCUGCUGCAUGGUGGGGGUUGGAAAGUUUCGGCGGUUGGGGAUGGACUCGCGGCUUAUCAGCUUGUUGGUGGGGUAGUGGCUUACCAAGGCUUUGACGGGUAGCCGGCCUGAGAGGGUGACCGGCCACAUUGGGACUGAGAUACGGCCCAGACUCCUACGGGAGGCAGCAGUGGGGAAUAUUGCACAAUGGGCGGAAGCCUGAUGCAGCAACGCCGCGUGCGGGAUGACGGCCUUCGGGUUGUAAACCGCUUUCGCCUGUGACGAAGCGUGAGUGACGGUAAUGGGUAAAGAAGCACCGGCUAACUACGUGCCAGCAGCCGCGGUGAUACGUAGGGUGCGAGCGUUGUCCGGAUUUAUUGGGCGUAAAGGGCUCGUAGGUGGUUGAUCGCGUCGGAAGUGUAAUCUUGGGGCUUAACCCUGAGCGUGCUUUCGAUACGGGUUGACUUGAGGAAGGUAGGGGAGAAUGGAAUUCCUGGUGGAGCGGUGGAAUGCGCAGAUAUCAGGAGGAACACCAGUGGCGAAGGCGGUUCUCUGGGCCUUUCCUGACGCUGAGGAGCGAAAGCGUGGGGAGCGAACAGGCUUAGAUACCCUGGUAGUCCACGCUGUAAACGGUGGGUACUAGGUGUGGGGUCCAUUCCACGGGUUCCGUGCCGUAGCUAACGCUUUAAGUACCCCGCCUGGGGAGUACGGCCGCAAGGCUAAAACUCAAAGGAAUUGACGGGGCCCCGCACAAGCGGCGGAGCAUGCGGAUUAAUUCGAUGCAACGCGUAGAACCUUACCUGGGUUUGACAUGGAUCGGGAGUGCUCAGAGAUGGGUGUGCCUCUUUUGGGGUCGGUUCACAGGUGGUGCAUGGCUGUCGUCAGCUCGUGUCGUGAGAUGUUGGGUUAAGUCCCGCAACGAGCGCAACCCUUGUUCACUGUUGCCAGCACGUUAUGGUGGGGACUCAGUGGAGACCGCCGGGGUCAACUCGGAGGAAGGUGGGGAUGACGUCAAGUCAUCAUGCCCCUUAUGUCCAGGGCUUCACGCAUGCUACAAUGGCUGGUACAGAGGGUGGCGAGCCUGUGAUGGUGAGCGAAUCUCGGAAAGCCGGUCUCAGUUCGGAUUGGGGUCUGCAACUCGACCUCAUGAAGUCGGAGUCGCUAGUAAUCGCAGAUCAGCAACGCUGCGGUGAAUACGUCCCCGGGGCU
rnacentral:rRNA from 1 species